CGGAUAAUACAAUCAAUCACAU
rnacentral:siRNA from 1 species